GUCAACUCUCAUGCACCCAGGGCCUGCCAUGUGUAAAGCUCUGCACCACUGGAGAGCAUUGUUACUGUUUUCCUCAGCCUAGAGGUGAGGAAACUGAGGCUUAUAGUAGCUCAACAAUUUGCUCAAGGUCUCACAGCUAGUAAGUGGAGAAUCAGAAUUCAAGUCCAGAUACUUGGACUUGCAAGAGCCUACUCCCAUAACUGGGCUAGUUGUAGCACCUGGUGAUGAAGCUUCAAAUGCAUGAAGUGGUUUGUAGUUUCCUCAGCAGCUCCCAGGUUUGUUUUUAAGUCUUUACAGCAAAGCAGUGAGGUCUUAGCAGGGGGUGUGAUAUACCCAGAUAUGCAUACUAAAUGAAAUGAUGGAUCUGGAAACACUUAGUAAAUGGGAAAAUGCUCUACAAAUAGGACAUAAUUAUUGUCUCUAAUUUACAAGUGAGGAACAUCAAAUCAGAGAGGUUAAGUGGUAUGCCCAAGGACACAUGAGCAGCUAAUGGCAGAGUCAGGACGCCAACCCAGGUCUUAGGAAUUCAAGACCAGUGCUUUUUGUUUCCUUGACAAUAUCAAAGAAAGAUUGGUUUGGGUUUACCUGCUCCCCCCACAAAUGGUUGCCAAGUGAAAAUUAGGCAGAGACUCUAAAAAAGAGACUCUGCUAACUUCUUAUCCACCUUUUAUUGCUUUGGCUUUUCUCUCCCUUUUCAGACCUCCAUGACACAGAAAGUAA
rnacentral:lncRNA from 1 species